rnacentral:rRNA from 1 species
CUNNNUGCAGUCGAGCGCUCUCUUCGGAGGGAGCGGCGGACGGGUUAGUAACGCGUGGGAACGUGCCCUUCUCUAAGGAAUAGCCACUGGAAACGGUGAGUAAUACCUUAUACGCCCUUCGGGGGAAAGAUUUAUCGGAGAAGGAUCGGCCCGCGUUAGAUUAGAUAGUUGGUGGGGUAACGGCCUACCAAGUCUACGAUCUAUAGCUGGUUUUAGAGGAUGAUCAGCAACACUGGGACUGAGACACGGCCCAGACUCCUACGGGAGGCAGCAGUGGGGAAUCUUGGACAAUGGGCGCAAGCCUGAUCCAGCCAUGCCGCGUGAGUGAUGAAGGCCUUAGGGUCGUAAAGCUCUUUCGCCUGUGAAGAUAAUGACUGUAGCAGGUAAAGAAACCCCGGCUAACUCCGUGCCAGCAGCCGCGGUAAUACGGAGGGGGUUAGCGUUGUUCGGAAUUACUGGGCGUAAAGCGCGCGUAGGCGGACUGGAAAGUUGGGGGUGAAAUCCCAGGGCUCAACCCUGGAACUGCCUCCAAAACUAUCAGUCUAGAGUUCGAGAGAGGUGAGUGGAAUUCCGAGUGUAGAGGUGAAAUUCGUAGAUAUUCGGAGGAACACCAGUGGCGAAGGCGGCUCACUGGCUCGAUACUGACGCUGAGGUGCGAAAGUGUGGGGAGCAAACAGGAUUAGAUACCCUGGUAGUCCACACCGUAAACGAUGAAUGCCAGUCGUCGGGUAGCAUGCUAUUCGGUGACACACCUAACGGAUUAAGCAUUCCGCCUGGGGAGUACGGUCGCAAGAUUAAAACUCAAAGGAAUUGACGNGNGNCCGCACAAGCGGUGGAGCAUGUGGUUUAAUUCGAAGCNNNGCGCANNACCUUACCAACCCUUGACAU